UGAGAAAAACGAGUCGCGAAAAGCUACCAGGAACGCUCAACGUGAAAUCAUUUAAGUUUGGCAAGUUGGCAUUAUUGUCCUGUCAAAUAAGCACUUCCGGAAAAAGAAGAUAGAAGUGUGCAGUGCGAAAGGGGCAUCCUCCCGGAAAAAAAAGUCCGCGCGAUAAGAAAAGAUUUCGCUGAUUUCGCUCCACCACAAAGCGUAACGAUACCGGGCCGCCAGCACCUGAAACGUGCGCAGGAAGAUUGUGACAGCGGGAAAGAGGAUUGCUCAUCCGCAUGCGAUUUCCUCCAUCACAAACAGAAGAGGAGAAUAUCCAAGGUAAGCGGACAAAAUCAACGCCUUCAAAGCACCAACUAAUUGCUUCUCAUCCACCGCGCUACAGGGCCAUUAGCACCCAAAACAGGCGUGAGAGCUAGAAGGAACUCCGCAGAUCCGCAUGCAAUCUUCUCUGUCAUACAACGAGGCGGAAAAAACACUAUAGGGCCGAAAAAACAUCUGGUAUCGGGGCUUCUAGCAUUCGAAGUCUGCACGCCAAGAGCAGAGAAAUCCGGAGCUACUGUGGUGAAAGUCGAUCAUCGAUAUCGAUUUCUGAAAUCGCGAAGGACUCAAGAAUAGCGAAGGUAAGCAGAAAAAGAAAACUGCCAAUCAAGGAGUAGAUGCUAAUCAAAUCCCAAUCCUCAGAUAUCGCCUCACUAUCCACCACAAAAGAAAGGACUGAGACAGAAAAGCGAUAGAGGAAGUUUGGUAGAAGAGCCAACCAAAUCAAAAGGGUCGUCAGCGUAAGUAAAACCCCUUUUUGAUCACAUUCUCUGGCCUAACCGGAAAUCUCAUUCCUCCAGGACCCUUUUUUUAUUC